GUCUUUCUAUUUUAGCACCUCAUGGCAUAUUAGCUAAAUUGCAUGUAUUCAUUUUAUCACACAAUAUAUACGUAUUUUCUUUCCUACACAAUAUCUGACAAACCCAUUCCCUACAGUCAACUUGGACCAGUACUUGGUUUCUUGUAUAUAACUAACUUUAGCUACACUUCAUACUAAACUUGCAUGCGCUCUGCCACCAGUCCACUGCUUUUCAGUCUUGAUAUCGGUCACAUAAAAUCCUACAACUACACUGUCCUAUAUCUGAUGUGUUUUUUUUGUUUUGUUUUUUGGAAGAGGCUAUGCCACUCUC